rnacentral:rRNA from 1 species
UGGGGAAUCUUGCGCAAUGGGCGAAAGCCUGACGCAGCAACGCCGCGUGCGGGAUGACGGCCUUCGGGUUGUAAACCGCUUUCAGCAGGGACGAAAUUGACGGUACCUGCAGAAGAAGCCCCGGCCAACUACGUGCCAGCAGCCGCGGUAACACGUAGGGGGCGAGCGUUGUCCGGAUUUAUUGGGCGUAAAGAGCUCGUAGGCGGCUUUGUCAGUCGGGUGUGAAACCUCCAGGCUCAACCUGGAGCCGCCACCCGAUACUGCAAUAGCUAGAGUCCGGUAGGGGAGCAUGGAACUCCUGGUGUAGCGGUGAAAUGCGCAGAUAUCAGGAAGAACACCAGUGGCGAAGGCGGUGCUCUGGGCCGGAACUGACGCUGAGGAGCGAAAGCGUGGGGAGCAAACA